CCCAAAGAAGAAGGGAUUUUUCCAGUAAGAUUGUUGUUGUAGAGAUCCAAGCUGAUGAGGUUCUUCAGAUUGUCAAGUUCAGAAGGUAUAGUCCCUUCGAUGUUGUUUUUGUACAGCUCCCUGAGUCGAUCAAUUAUAACACAAGUAAUAAAGUUAGUUUACAUUGUUACAAAAUCAAUCUCACAGUUUCAAAAAAAAAAAAAAUCAAUCUCAUAGUGGGUGCUUUAGCUUGCGCUUUAUGGUACGUAACUUUAUUUUCACUAUCUAAUUUUAUCCUAGCUGGUAGUGGAAAAAAAAGUUAAAUUUUUUAUGGAAAAGUGCAAAGCCAAAAGAGUGAUGACAUACAAAUACUGUAAAUGUUCGAGCUUCCCAAGCUCAGGUGCAAGAUGUCCUGAAAGGUUUGAAUUGCCUAAAUCCCUGCCAAAAAUUAAAAAAAAAACGUUGAAUCAGAGAUACACUUUUAAGAGCUAAGAGAUAAGGAGAUGUAAUCAGUUACAACGAAUCCAAGAUUAUUCUAAAAGCGUAAGAAACUCACAGAGUAGGUACUAAAGAGUAAUAUAAAUAAGUAACAAAGCACAGAAAAAAAUCAUGAAGUACAAGCAAAAUUAAUAGAUGGAACAACUAUUGGGGAUUCUUUCGAGCCUUUUAAGGAAUCCAAUGACUAGAGAGAGAGAUAUACACUGUGCAGAACCUGAGAGAGCUUUAGAUUUCCCCCUUUUCAUAAUGGAAUACUGAGCUAGAAAAAUUUCCUUUUUUCUUUAAAAAAAAAUCGUACUCUCUGCAUAUGAAGCUUCGGAAAGGACAAAAUCAUGAACCUUAAAGUCACCCCAUUUUGAAGAAGAAGUGUUUCCAAAGACAAAAGGAAGGCUGAAUCAUCAUCAAAUCAACUAAAUCCACAAUUCCCCACCCCCCCAUUUGAUUUGACAAUAGUUAAAAAGAGAAAACAAACAAAAAGCCAAGCCUGGUGAACUAAUCAAACCCAACUUUCUAUCAUAUGCAAAUAAUAAUCAUCUCAACUUACUACAGUUACAAAUAAUUAUUUUGAAUAUGAACACAAAAUCAAGCAUAGUAGUCUAGUGGCAUGGGAGCUUUGGGUUGUUAACUAACCUAGGUUCAAAGACAUUCCACUAUACUCCAUUGUGUGGCUACAUAGAUAUAACCAAAGGACUACAACCCAUUUGAAUAUUCAGGGAGAGGGUCAAUCCGUAAGUUACAUUUUAGAUUAGUUCGUCUCAAUUCAUGGUCUUUGGAAUACCCCAAAUUAUUAUUUUUUAAACAUGAACACAACCCUACUUGCGAAAAGUAAUGACACAAUAAAGUAUACAACGCACAUUUUCCAUUCUGUUACUUCUUAUUUUUGAAAUUGUGUCCACCUCCACGUGACUAAUAAAGGACUCUGUAUUUUUGCAAUUUAUAUGAUUUGUCCGCAAACUAGCAUGGGCCUAGAUGACGAAUCGCGUAGUCGACUGGACAUGAGUGGUUACAAACCAAACAUCAAUUGUGGUGGAAUCGAACUGAAUGUAUAAUGCUAAAUAAAAUAAAACACCCAAACCCAUAGUUUUUGUUUUAACACGACAGAUCCAUACAAGCAAGUGUUAAUGCAGACAAGAUAAAGAACUUGCUACCAAUACAAAUGUUACAUCUCAGUGUCGCACAACGAACAUUACACUACGCCAAAGGCGCAUGUAUAUAGAUUUUACAAUACACACAGACAGACCUCAGUCUCAAUUGAGACAGAUGAUUACUGAUUCCAACUCUUUUUUUUUUUUCUCAACUAGGACAUAUAUAUACUUAUUACAUAAUAGAAGUGAUAUUUGAUAAAGUGGUGAAGUGUUCUUCCAAGGUCACCCCCUCAUUUCUUGUUUUUCAGGUGUUGCCAGUUGGUUCAGUUGCAGUUGGUGUCGUAGCUUGCAAGACCGAUUAGUUCCGGUCCCUCCAACCUCGAGUUGUUCUCAAAGCUGCAACAAUUGUUUUUGAGUUAUUAGGAUCAAAAUGCUCAUAUGCAACUUUUAUCAGUUUAUAUAGAAUAUCAAAGAAGCUUUGUAAUAUGGGUGAGAAGAUGGAAAAUGGAAGAGGAAACAGUAUCAAGAAACUUCUUGGGCAAGUGCAAGACAAAAGUAACUUACUUCUGCAAAGGAAUGUGUGCAAAGGGUCCUUCCGUUGGGAUAGUUCCACACAAAUCAUUGUUUGAUACAUCACUGAUGAAAUGAUGACAAAUCAAGAGGAAUGAGUCAGUAGGUUGGAGAGACAGCAGCAGAGAGUUUAGCAAAACAAGCACAAAAUGAGAAAGCUGAACUUACACAACUUUAAGGCUUGCGAUUUUGGUGAGCUCUUUAGGGAUUGGACCAGUCAAUUUGUUGUCGUUGAGCCGUCUGCAACAUUAAACAGUUCCUUAAGAGAGGCGAGGUAAGAAGAGAAAGCGUAAGAAGAGAAUCAAGUAGUUUUGUGAAUUAUAGAGUGUAAAACAAGUUACUUUAAUCAGCCCUAUAAUUUGCAAUUUCCAAAGUGUAUCUGUUUCAGGAUCUUAGAACAACUUACAAAAAGACCAGAGACUUCAAUUUUCCCAAAGAAGAAGGGAUUUUUCCAGUAAGAUUGUUGUUGUAGAGAUCCAAGCUGAUGAGGUUCUUCAGAUUGUCAAGUUCAGAAGGUAUAGUCCCUUCGAUGUUGUUUUUGUACAGCUCCCUGAGUCGAUCAAUUAUAACACAAGUAAUAAAGUUAGUUUACAUUGUUACAAAAUCAAUCUCACAGUUUCAAAAAAAAAAAAAA
rnacentral:lncRNA from 1 species